rnacentral:rRNA from 1 species
GAUGAACGCUAGCGGCAGGCUUAACACAUGCAAGUCGAGGGGUAUAGUUCUUCGGAACUAGAGACCGGCGCACGGGUGCGUAACGCGUAUGCAAUCUACCUUUUGCAGAGGGAUAGCCCAGAGAAAUUUGGAUUAAUACCUCAUGGUAUGUGAGAAUGGCAUCAUUUUCACAUUAAAGUCACAACGGCAAAAGAUGAGCAUGCGUCCCAUUAGCUUGUUGGUAAGGUAACGGCUUACCAAGGCAACGAUGGGUAGGGGUCUGAGAGGGAGAUCCCCCACUCUGGUACUGAGACACGGACCAGACUCCUACGGGAGGCAGCAGUGAGGAAUAUUGGACAAUGGGCGCAAGCCUGAUCCAGCCAUGCCGCGUGCAGGAUGACGGUCCUAUGGAUUGUAAACUGCUUUUGUACAGGAAGAAACACUGGUUCGUGAACCAGCUUGACGGUACUGUAAGAAUAAGGAUCGGCUAACUCCGUGCCAGCCGCCGCAGUAAUAC